CCAAUGUCUCCUUAUAUGGCUGUGAAUGCGCAAGGAAUGAGCCUACACUUUCUGUCGUUUCCCCAAGGUGUUUGCAGCAAUGUGACGUAUUUGUAGGCAUAUCAUUGGAAAAUUGACCAUAAGAGGAUACAUUUACCAGGUGUCCGCUCGGUGUCCUCCGUCGAAUCUAUUGUGUAAUCUCCAGCCAAACGUGAUGAACAAAACGGAGCGAUUUCUCCUACACAAUCUUUUUGGAAAAACUGAACAUUUGCUAUCUGAGAGUCUCCUCAUUGAAAACAUCCGAAGUUCUUCAAAGGAAAUAUGCUCCCCAGUGUAGUGCCUGCCAGCAGCUGAUCAUUCCAAGAGAGGAUGGCAUAGACAGCUACACCGUGGAGUGCCUGGGACACUCCUUUCACGUUGACUGCUAUCGAUGUGAGGUACAGUUCAGGAUGUCACGAACCGGCUCAAAGCCCGUAACAAAAGGGAGAUAAGGAGUAGCAAAAUAUAUAUAUUUAUUAAAUAAGUAUAAUAUACAAUGUGUGUGUGUGUGUAAUCAGUAAUUAGUAGUGUAAGUGAGUGUUUUGCAGGCAUGGAGGUGAUAAUGCAGGGUGUUGAAAGAUGCUAAAGCAAGCAACCAAGAAACACAACAAAAUCUAUAAAGGUGUCUGCAUAGAGAGUCUCCUUCAUGAAUGGGGAAGUGGUGUAUUUAUCCCGGGAGACACCGGGCCCAGGUGUUUCCCAUGUAGCUGACGACACUCCCAAAUCCGCCCACCAGCAUCCUAAUCAGGAAACAUCAAAGAGGAAAUACGGCAGACAGAGUGGGAGGGUCGUCACAAGAGAAAUGCUCUAAAUAUGAUAGCGUACUAUGGGUGUUUGCUAUAUGUGUGUGCCGAUCUCAAUCAGCACAAUAAUUACUGGGGAUUGGGUCCUUCACAAUCACAGUUCAAACAUCUAAAAUAGAGUGUUAGAACAGAAUACAGUAUAAUAAAAUAACUUUAUUUUUCACAGAGGAAACUUUGGCUGUGGCAUCUGGAUCUCACAGCUUUUUCCAUUUUAUUCACCCAAUAUUCAGGUCUGCAGUACCCAGCUCUCCCCAGAGCCAAUCGACCAUGGCUGCAAUCCACUGGAUGGGAGGGUGCUGUGUAAGUCUUGUCACCCAUAGAGAUGUAAAGAGGCCUCAUCAUUGUAUCAAUGCCAUUAUGGUCGUCUGUGACAGCAUGGGCAUUAAGACUAUCUCCAUUUUGAAGUAUUAAAUUUUCUUCCUCACGAUUGGCUGAUCCCUCCUGAUGAUCCUGUUGCACAUGACUCCAACAGGGUCACCAAGAGGGAUCAGCCAACGAAGUUGGAAGUCCCACCCAGUUGACUACAUUAAAAUGGUGGAAGUCCUCAAUAGCGCUGCUCAUGCUAAAAUGGCCUUUUGGCCAUUAGAGGCCUCUAUCAUUCUCUAUGUUGUCACCUGACCACGGUUCAGUCUGCCCAGCUCUCAUACUGAACUCAGAACCAGGGCCCGUAUUAAUAAAGCGUCUCAGAAAAGGAGUGCUGAUCUAGGAUCAGUUUGGCCUUUUAGAUUAAUACGCUUUUAUACAAAGGGCAGACCUGAUCCUAGAUCAGCUUUCCUACUCUGAGACACUGAAUAUGGGCCCAGGCAGGAAUCAGGACGGGACUGAGCCAGAGCUCACAAGCACAGACAACCAAAUGUGCAGUGGAGCCAAUGUAGAAGCAAGCUGAAAGUCAACAGUCCUGAUUGGAUUGUAAAGGAGAACUAUCUAUGAAACUAGGAGAGAAGACAGGUCUUCUUAAUUCUGCAUCAUGGGAAUAAGUAAUUGGACUUUAAAUGUCACACACUUUCUUAAUCACAGUAUUUAAAAAUGAUUUGCAAUUAUCCCUUAUGUAGCAAUACAUGUUUGUCAAUUGCCUCCUAUACUUAUUUCAUACUUGAUACUUUUGAACUAGUUUUUAACCCACACUAGUAAAUGCAUCAAAAAUAUUUGCCUGGAUUCACCUGGUUGGUCUAUGUUAAGGAAAAAAACAGGUGUCCUAAGUACUUUGUGGUAUGCAUUCUUAGAAUAUUAUGUAGUACUCAGUGCUGUGUGUCCAUUCUCAAUGUAGGCUUUCAUAUGACAAAAUAAACAAAUAUAUUAUAC